rnacentral:rRNA from 1 species
AAUCUUUGAAACGUGCUCGGUAUACUUUUUUCCAAGAUCAGUCCCACAUUCUUUAUCAAUGUGAUAAAUC